UGACCUAGCGGCGGACGGGUGAGUAAUGCUUAGGAAUCUGCCUAUUAGUGGGGGACAACAUUCCGAAAGGAAUGCUAAUACCGCAUACGCCCUACGGGGGAAAGCAGGGGAUCUUCGGACCUUGCGCUAAUAGAUGAGCCUAAGUCAGAUUAGCUAGUUGGUGGGGUAAAGGCCUACCAAGGCGACGAUCUGUAGCGGGUCUGAGAGGAUGAUCCGCCACACUGGGACUGAGACACGGCCCAGACUCCUACGGGAGGCAGCAGUGGGGAAUAUUGGACAAUGGGCGAAAGCCUGAUCCAGCCAUGCCGCGUGUGUGAAGAAGGCCUUUUGGUUGUAAAGCACUUUAAGCGAGGAGGAGGCUACUUGGAUUAAUACUCUAGGAUAGUGGACGUUACUCGCAGAAUAAGCACCGGCUAACUCUGUGCCAGCAGCCGCGGUAAUACAGAGGGUGCGAGCGUUAAUCGGAUUUACUGGGCGUAAAGCGUGCGUAGGCGGCUUUUUAAGUCGGAUGUGAAAUCCCUGAGCUUAACUUAGGAAUUGCAUUCGAUACUGGGAAGCUAGAGUAUGGGAGAGGAUGGUAGAAUUCCAGGUGUAGCGGUGAAAUGCGUAGAGAUCUGGAGGAAUACCGAUGGCGAAGGCAGCCAUCUGGCCUAAUACUGACGCUGAGGUACGAAAGCAUGGGGAGCAAACAGGAUUAGAUACCCUGGUAGUCCAUGCCGUAAACGAUGUCUACUAGCCGUUGGGGCCUUUGAGGCUUUAGUGGCGCAGCUAACGCGAUAAGUAGACCGCCUGGGGAGUACGGUCGCAAGACUAAAACUCAAAUGAAUUGACGGGGGCCCGCACAAGCGGUGGAGCAUGUGGUUUAAUUCGAUGCAACGCGAAGAACCUUACCUGGUCUUGACAUAGUAAGAACUUUCCAGAGAUGGAUUGGUGCCUUCGGGAACUU
rnacentral:rRNA from 1 species